AAAAAAAAAAAAAAAAAAAAAAAAAAAAAAA
rnacentral:ncRNA from 3 species